rnacentral:tRNA from 1 species
AUAAAGAUAAGCUAAGAAGCUGAUGGGUUCAUACCCCAUUUAUAAAGGUAUACCCCUUUUCUUUAUA